ACUGCUUCUCAGACUUUUGGCUAAGACCUAGUUCUGUAUCAGUUCUCAUGAGUUUACUAUCUGAUAAAUCCUCUAUCCCAAGACAACAUAGUAAAUGGGAUUUUGGAGCCGGGAGGUGAAAAAGGAAUCUGCUCCUUCCACUGUGCACAUCCACCUGGUAUUGCAGCACUUCCUGGAACGGUGCACUGUGC
ensembl:snRNA U2 U2 spliceosomal RNA